rnacentral:rRNA from 1 species
AGAGUUUGAUCAUGGCUCAGAUUGAACGCUGGCGGCAGGCCUAACACAUGCAAGUCGAACGGUAACAGGAAACAGCUUGCUGUUUCGCUGACGAGUGGCGGACGGGUGAGUAAUGUCUGGGAAACUGCCUGAUGGAGGGGGAUAACUACUGGAAACGGUAGCUAAUACCGCAUAACGUCGCAAGACCAAAGAGGGGGACCUUCGGGCCUCUUGCCAUCGGAUGUGCCCAGAUGGGAUUAGCUAGUAGGUGGGGUAACGGCUCACCUAGGCGACGAUCCCUAGCUGGUCUGAGAGGAUGACCAGCCACACUGGAACUGAGACACGGUCCAGACUCCUACGGGAGGCAGCAGUGGGGAAUAUUGCACAAUGGGCGCAAGCCUGAUGCAGCCAUGCCGCGUGUAUGAAGAAGGCCUUCGGGUUGUAAAGUACUUUCAGCGGGGAGGAAGGGAGUAAAGUUAAUACCUUUGCUCAUUGACGUUACCCGCAGAAGAAGCACCGGCUAACUCCGUGCCAGCAGCCGCGGUAAUACGGAGGGUGCAAGCGUUAAUCGGAAUUACUGGGCGUAAAGCGCACGCAGGCGGUUUGUUAAGUCAGAUGUGAAAUCCCCGGGCUCAACCUGGGAACUGCAUCUGAUACUGGCAAGCUUGAGUCUCGUAGAGGGGGGUGGAAUUCCAGGUGUAGCGGUGAAAUGCGUAGAGAUCUGGAGGAAUACCGGUGGCGAAGGCGGCCCCCUGGACGAAGACUGACGCUCAGGUGCGAAAGCGUGGGGAGCAAACAGGAUUAGAUACCCUGGUAGUCCACGCCGUAAACGAUGUCGACUUGGAGGUUGUGCCCUUGAGGCGUGGCUUCCGGAGCUAACGCGUUAAGUCGACCGCCUGGGGAGUACGGCCGCAAGGUUAAAACUCAAAUGAAUUGACGGGGGCCCGCACAAGCGGUGGAGCAUGUGGUUUAAUUCGAUGCAACGCGAAGAACCUUACCUGGUCUUGACAUCCACGGAAGUUUUCAGAGAUGAGAAUGUGCCUUCGGGAACCGUGAGACAGGUGCUGCAUGGCUGUCGUCAGCUCGUGUUGUGAAAUGUUGGGUUAAGUCCCGCAACGAGCGCAACCCUUAUCCUUUGUUGCCAGCGGUCCGGCCGGGAACUCAAAGGAGACUGCCAGUGAUAAACUGGAGGAAGGUGGGGAUGACGUCAAGUCAUCAUGGCCCUUACGACCAGGGCUACACACGUGCUACAAUGGCGCAUACAAAGAGAAGCGACCUCGCGAGAGCAAGCGGACCUCAUAAAGUGCGUCGUAGUCCGGAUUGGAGUCUGCAACUCGACUCCAUGAAGUCGGAAUCGCUAGUAAUCGUGGAUCAGAAUGCCACGGUGAAUACGUUCCCGGGCCUUGUACACACCGCCCGUCACACCAUGGGAGUGGGUUGCAAAAGAAGUAGGUAGCUUAACCUUCGGGAGGGCGCUUACCACUUUGUGAUUCAUGACUGGGGUGAAGUCGUAACAAGGUAACCGUAGGGGAACCUGCGGUUGGAUCACCU